UACGAAGGGUGCAAGCGUUAAUCGGAAUUACUGGGCGUAAAGCGCGCGUAGGUGGUUCAGUAAGUUGGAAGUGAAAUCCCCGGGCUCAACCUGGGAACUGCUUUCAAAACUGCUGAGCUAGAGUACGGUAGAGGGUGGUGGAAUUUCCUGUGUAGCGGUGAAAUGCGUAGAUAUAGGAGGGAACACCAGUGGCGAAGGCGACCACCUGGACUGAUACUGACACUGAGGUGCGAAAGCGUGGGGAGCAAACAGG
rnacentral:rRNA from 1 species